UGGGGAAUAUUGGACAAUGGGCGAAAGCCUGAUCCAGCCAUGCCGCGUGUGUGAAGAAGGUCUUCGGAUUGUAAAGCACUUUAAGUUGGGAGGAAGGGCAGUAAGCGAAUACCUUGCUGUUUUGACGUUACCGACAGAAUAAGCACCGGCUAACUCUGUGCCAGCAGCCGCGGUAAUACAGAGGGUGCAAGCGUUAAUCGGAAUUACUGGGCGUAAAGCGCGCGUAGGUGGUUCGUUAAGUUGAAUGUGAAAGCCCCGGGCUCAACCUAGGAACUGCAUCCAAAACUGGCGAGCUAUAGUAGUGCAGAUGGUGGUGGAAUUUCCUGUGUAGCGGUGAAAUGCGGUGAUAUAGGAAGGAACACCAGUGGCGAAGGCGACCACCUGGGCUCAUACUGACACUGAGGUGCGAAAGCGUGGGGAGCAAACAGG
rnacentral:rRNA from 1 species